rnacentral:rRNA from 1 species
CAAAGCUUAAAUACAUAAUAAAAAAAAUUUUUUAAUUGACUAUAAAACCCACCAUCAAUACCAAAUAACUUUAUAUUAAUAUAAAAAAUAUUAUGUUAGAAUGAGUAAUAAGAAAAGAAUUUCUCCAAAAUAUAAGCAUAAUGCAAAAUAAACUAAAACUGCCAAUUACUGUAUAUUAAACUAAAGUAGUAACUUAACUAGAAAACCCUACUUUUCUAAACAUUAAUCUAACACAAGAAUAUUACUGGAAAGAUUAAAAGAAUGGGAAGGAACUCGGCAAAUAUAAACCCCGCCUGUUUACCAAAAACAUCGCCNCUNNCUUAAAUAUAAGAGGUCCCGCCUGCCCCGUGAUUUAGUUUAACGGCCGCGGUAUC